AACGAACGCUGGCGGCAGGCCUAACACAUGCAAGUCGAGGGAGAAGCUACUUUCGGGUAGUGGAGACCGGCAGACGGGUGAGUAACACGUGGGAACAUACCUAGUAGUGGGGGAUAACAGUUGGAAACGACUGCUAAUACCGCAUACGCCCUUCGGGGGAAAGAUUUAUCGCUAUUAGAUUGGCCCGCGUUAGAUUAGCUAGUUGGUAAGGUAACGGCUUACCAAGGCGACGAUCUAUAGCUGGUUUGAGAGGAUGAUCAGCCACACUGGGACUGAGACACGGCCCAG
rnacentral:rRNA from 1 species